UGAGAACUUGAAAGUAACAAAGAGGUUUU
rnacentral:piRNA from 1 species